GUAGGCAGGCAGGCAGAUACAGACAGACCCAGCAGGUUGGUAGGUAGGCAGGCAGACCCAGCAGGUAGGUAGGUAGGCAGGCAGACCCAGCAGGUUGGUAGGCAGGCAGGCAGACGGAUACAGACAGAUCCAGCAGGUUGGUAGGUAGGCAGGCAGGCAGAUACAGACAGACCCAGCAGGUUGGUAGGUAGGCAGGCAGACCCAGCAGGUAGGUAGGUAGGCAGACAGACCCAGCAGGUAGGCAGACGGAUACAGACAGACCCAGCAGGUUGGUAGGUAGGUAGGUAGGCAGACAGAUACAGACAGACCCAGCAGGUUGGUAGGUAGGCAGGCAGACAGACCCAGCAGGUAGGCAGACGGAUACAGACAGAUCCAGCAGGUUGGUAGGUAGGUAGGCAGACAGAUACAGACAGACCCAGCAGGUUGGUAGGUAGGUAGGCAGACAGAUACAGACAGACCCAGCAGGCAGAUACAGACAGAUCCAGCAGGUUGGUAGGUAGGCAGGCAGACGGAUACAGACAGACCCAGCAGGUUGGUAGGUAGGUAGACAGACCCAGCAGGUAGGUAGGUAGGCAGGCAGACCCAGCAGGUUGGUAGGCAGGCAGGCAGACGGAUACAGACAGAUCCAGCAGGUUGGUAGGUAGGCAGGCAGGCAGAUACAGACAGACCCAGCAGGUAUGUAGAGAUAGA